rnacentral:misc_RNA from 1 species
CUCAUUAUCCACUUCCUGGCCAAUUUCAAGACUUUUUGAGGGUUUCUUGAUAGCAACGUGGCGCCCACGGAUAACGGCCUUGUAGACACAGCCAUGGCUGCCUUUGCCUAGGAGUUUCUGAUCAGAAAACCCAUUGGUAGCCGCCACAAGAUCAUUGUAAUGAAACUGUUGGAUCUUGAUGGGUUUUUCUUGUUUAUUUUGGGCGGUUUUGGAAGAAGUAGUUUGAGAAGUUGGGGUGGCGAUGGCAACAGCUGAUUCUGCUUUACAAGUAAGGUAACCCAUUUAAGGCAAUUUGGUGAAAUGGGUUUUGAGACAAGAAAUGCACCAAAAAAUCUAGAAAUUCAAGAUUUCUGCUACAUGAAGAGAAGAGGAAGAGGAUGGUUCAAAGGAAGCUAGGUUAAUAGAGAUAAAGUCAUUGGGUUGACAUGAA